rnacentral:rRNA from 1 species
GUCCUUUAGAAUAAUAAAAAUUAAAGGUUUAAUCUGCCCAAUGAUUUUUGAAUGGCCGCGGUAAUCUGACCGUGCAAAGGUAGCAUAAUAAUUAGUCUUUUAAUUGAAGGCUAGAAUGAAAGAUUGAAUGAAAAAUUAACUAUAUUAAUAUGAUUAUUUAUAAUUUAAUUUUUAGAUAAAAAAGUCUAAAUAUUUUAGUGGGACGAGAAGACCCUAUAGAGUUUAAAAAUAGUUUUUAAUUAUUGAAUUUAGAUUUAUUAAACCAAUUAAUUAUUUAAUUAAUUUUUUUGUUGGGGUGAUAUUAAAAUAAAUUUAACUUUUAAUAAAUACAUCAUUAAUUAAUGUUUAAUUGAUCCAAUUUUAUUUUUUUGAAAAAAAGAUCAAAUUACCUUAGGGAUAACAGCGUAAUUAAUUUGAAGAGUUCAAAUCGAUAAAUUAGUUUGCGACCUCGAUGUUGGAUUAAGACAAGAUAUUGGAGCAGAUUUUACUAAAACUAGGUCUGUUCGACCUUUUAAUUCUU